rnacentral:lncRNA from 1 species
GGGGCUCGGGGCCGGGCCGCGCCCCUUCCGGCGGCCGCUGCCGGAACCGCGGAGCGGAGGGGGCGGACGGGCCCGGGACACCGCCUCGCCUUGCGCUGCCGCUGCCGCUCCCUCCCGCCCCGUCCUGUCCCCUCAUGGCGCUGGAGCGGACGGGCACCGGCCCCUCCCGCCGCCCGCUCCGGCCUCCCCCGCCCCUGUCUCCUCUUGGUUCGCCGGGCAUGUGAGCGGGGCCGUGACCGCAGAAACCUAACUUCAAAAUACUUAAGAAGUGAAUGCCUCUGGAUUUUGGAACAAAAUUGCAGUGGGAUUUGGUAGUAAAAGUGAAGAUGAUCAGAUAAUGAGAGUUCCUAAUGGCAUCAAAGCGUGGCUGCCACAUUUGUGAAGUUUCUUUUGCAAGAAUUUUGUGGGAGAAGCUUGGCUGAAUUAUCUAUAAUGAGGAGCAGCAGUGAAUUAUGUAGUACAUUGCAAAGGGUUGAAAUAAAUGGCCUGUUAAGGUAAUUUUUUUUUUGCUU